rnacentral:rRNA from 1 species
GACGAACGCUGGCGGCGUGCUUAACACAUGCAAGUCGAACGGAAAGGCCCCCACUUUUUUGGUGGGGGUGCUCGAGUGGCGAACGGGUGAGUAACACGUGGGUGAUCUGCCCUGUACUUCGGGAUAAGCUUGGGAAACUGGGUCUAAUACCGGAUAGGACCAUGGUUUAGUGUCUCAUGGUGGAAAAAUUAUUGUUUUGGUGCAGGAUGAGCUCGCGGCCUAUCAGCUUGUUGGUGGGGUAAUGGCCUACCAAGGCGUCGACGGGUAGCCGGCCUGAGAGGGUGGACGGCCACAUUGGGACUGAGAUACGGCCCAGACUCCUACGGGAGGCAGCAGUGGGGAAUAUUGCACAAUGGGCGCAAGCCUGAUGCAGCGACGCCGCGUGGGGGAUGACGGCCUUCGGGUUGUAAACUCCUUUCGUUAGGGACGAAGCCGCACCUUUUUGGGGUGUGGUGACGGUACCUUUGUGAAGAAGCACCGGCUAACUACGUG